GCCCCGGAAGCUCAUUGGUAGAGCGCGCGAAUCGGGAAGUGCCAAGCCUGAUUAACGUGGGUUAAAAUCCCACUGCGGGGCG